CUUGGUGCUCUUUGCUCAGUUGGACCCACACCA
rnacentral:rRNA from 1 species